AUGAGAAUGAAGGAUGAAACGUUGGAUGGGAAAUUUUCCGAUUGCGUGUGUGUUUACGUUUAUCAAGCCAUGCUCGGAGAUGGUGAAGCUGAAAACUACUGCGUUUUUCGGGUUACAUAUGAAAUGGAUUAUUGGAUUGGACUGGGCCUCGUUAAGUAUAUAUAUGUACAAUCUUGUUGGCUCUUCUUACCACACCGUUAUUUGUUUGUCAUUCGAGAUUUUGUAUUUUUUAGUUUGAGCGAAAUAAAAAAAUUGUUAUAUUCGAUCAAGAAAUAUCUAAACAAUAGAAUCGCAUAUUCAUUCUAC